rnacentral:misc_RNA from 1 species
GAAAUGCGAUAAGUAAUGUGAAUUGCAGAAUUCAGUGAAUCAUCGAAUCUUUGAACGCACAUUGCGCCCUCUGGUAUUCCGGAGGGCAUGCCUGUUCGAGCGUCAUUUCACCACUCAAGCCUGGCUUGGUGUUGGGCGCCGCGGUGUUCCGCGCGCCUCAAAGUCCCCCGGCCGAGCGGUCCGUCUCCGAGCGUUGUGAUUUCAUUAAUCGCUCCGGAGCGCGGGCGGCCGCGGCCGUUAAAUCUCGCACACGGUUGACCUCGGAUCAGGUAGGGAUACCCGCUGAACUUAA